UUUAGAGACAAGGUUUCCCUACGUUGCCCAGACUGGUCUUGAACUCCUAGCCUCAAGCAGUCCUUCUGCCUCAGCCUCCCAAUGUGCUGGGAUUACAGGCAUGAGCCACUGCACUUGACCAAGGGACUAAGCCAGUGGAUCACAAACAUCCUGGAGAGCAGUGACUCUGUGAUUCCAUCACAAGAAUAUGAAGGACUGAGAAGAUCUCCAGCUCUGCCCAUUGCACCUUCCCAUUGAGAAGCAGCAUGGCACCCUGGUGGCAGGGGCUGAUACUCAGCCGGGCCAGGGUGCUCUCCUGUUAACCAUAACCAAGCUCACAGGACAUGGGAUGAGCCCACUGUGUGACACAGGGAGCGGGACACAGUCUGUUAAGUCUUGCACAGCCAUGCUCUGCCACGCAGGCAGGCCUUUCCUUGGCCUCCCUCUCCCUGUUCGUGCUCAUGUGAACAUCCACCUACGUGGAUAGACUGGGCUUUGGUUCAUUAUUGCUCUGUGAAUUCCUCGAACUUCCGCAUCUGCCCAACCUCCCCCACCCCAUUGUUUUCAUUGUGUUUCACCAAAUGGAAAUUCUAGAGUAAGCAUGUGAGUCCUCUCCCAAACUUGUUCACUGUUGAGAGUGCUAAAAUGCUAACCCCAGAUGCUAACUGAGGGGUAGGGUUACCUUAUCUUUAGAGCACUGCGAAUUGUAUGUUAAGUGGAACUUAAUGAAAAAAUAGUUAAUUGACCAACAUGAAUAUCCCCUGAACAGAAUCUCCCCUGAACAGAAUCCUACAAUGAAACUAAGGGAGAUAAAUAAAGCUGUUUACCUGAAAGCUCUCUCUAAUCAAGAUCCUUUGAAAUUUAUAAAACAUGGUCAAUAUUUGCACUGGACUUUGUAAAAAUAAAGCUUGAUAAGAGAAGAGUUUGAAGUGAAAUGCUGCCACUUUCUAUGCAAUAUUUGAUUUAAAUUUAAUUCCUAGAAACCUCAGAUGAAUGUGGUUCAUG
rnacentral:lncRNA from 1 species